AAAUACUGUAACAUGCAUACGAAUUCAGAUCCAACUGACGUGGUUUAUCAGCAACGAAAAAUAGUCGAAAUGAAAAAACUCAAAAAGUUCAGAGCAUACGACAUUGAAUAUUAUUGCAAUACUUCAAAUAUUUUUGUAACUGAGUAUCUGCUGUAGACAGCAACCAUUCCACGAGAACAAGGGCAGAGCACUGUGGCUACAGAUUGGAGCACGCAUCCUUAAAGAUCAAUCAGAUAGGCGCCGAAUCCAGAUCAAAAGGACAUAACCCCUCCGCGAACCCUGGGCGCUGGUGCAAGCUUUUGAUCCCCCAUCUGCACCAGCAACAGGGAGUGAUUGAUUGAUUGCUAUUCAGAAUCACCGUACUCUUCCCCAUCAGAUAGUUCAUCAAACGAUCUUAUGUCAAGCUGGUAACGAAGAAUUCCUCCAAUACCACCAAAACCUCUGCAGAACUGUGAUCCUUCCUGUGAUUUGUUGGUAACGAACUCCAGGGUGCAACCAAACUUCUUGUACUCGUUUGCAAACCAUUCCAGCAAGGCCAUCUUUUCUUGAACCUCCAACUCAGCAGAGGUGGCGGUGUCACGAAAGUUGCUCUGAUUGGCUUCCUGUUCCUUGUUCAAAUGCUUUAUAAUAAUCUCACCAGUGGCAGCAUUCUUUAAUACAUACCUAUUGAUAUCUAAAUUUUCCCAAACAAUAAGUAUUUCAACAGCACCCAUCUCCAGAGCUUUCAGUGUGUCGUCAACACCAAAAACAUACUUCCCUGUGUCCUGGCUAAUCUCUUCAAAGUAUUUUCCAAUCAAGCGCUUCUCCUGUAUAAAUUUUACAUUAGACAAGAUCUCGGAUGACAAUUCAAUAGCUUGAUUGA
rnacentral:misc_RNA from 1 species